UCUCCGUAGGUGAACCUGCGGAGGGAUCAUUACUGAGUGAGGGCGCAAGCCCGACCUCCAACCCCAUGUAAAUCAUACCAUGUUGCCUCGGGGGCGACCCUGCCGCUUCGGCGGUGCGGCGCCCCCGGAGGCCAUUAAACACUGCAUCAUUGCGUCGGAGUUAAAGUAAAUUAAACAAAACUUUCAACAACGGAUCUCUUGGUUCCAGCAUCGAUGAAGAACGCAGC
rnacentral:misc_RNA from 1 species